GGGUUGACUUUAAGGCUCAUCCCAGAGAGAGGUCGCUUCCUUCCAAGCCCCCUUCGUUUUCCCUUCCUUCCAUCACUUCUUUGAUAUAGGAAGGAUAUCGGAUCUCUCUCACUAGCUAGGAGAGGCUAGACUGCAUGCCAAGAUGAAGAGAUCUCAUCCAUAUGGUGUGGCGUGACUGUGAGCCCGGCCGGAUCUAGCAACCAACCAACCUAGCUAGAUCUAGAUAUAUACUAGAGGCCAGGAGCAGAUUGUUGAAUCAAAUUGGCAGAUCGAAGGCAGCAGAAGCUGUUGCGGAUUUCGCUGGUUGGUCGAAUUUGCAGCUGAAUCGAUCGAUCGUAUCGACCAAGUACGAACAGGGUUAUCAGGGUAGGAAAGGAGCUGGACGGGGCCCAUGGCGAGGAGGAAGACGCGCACGGUCCGGACGUAGCACCGGAGGAAGG